ACCAACGAAGGUGUGGGAAUACGGCGAGUGAGCGGCAAGAGCUCAAAUUUGAAAUCUGGCACCCUCCGAUUGCCCGAUGUGUUUCUAUAGAAUGGUUCUCCGUGCCGGACCAUGUCAAAGUCCCUGGAAAGAGGGUAUCAAAAAGGGGGAAACCCCCGGGGAUGAGAUGACCCCCUCCGCGCUGGGAUUCUUCUUAAACGAGUCGUGUUGGGGGAGAAAUAA
rnacentral:rRNA from 1 species